GUGCUUGCUUCAGCAGUACAUAUACUAACAUUGGAAUGAUACAGAGAUUAGCAUGGCCCCUGUGCAAGGAUGACAAGGAGAUUUGUGAAGUGUUCCAUAUUUCU